UCACGCUGCGCAUCAGCAUUCUUCGGCCAAUUCGCUCCACCCCGACCAAAACCCUAGCCGCCGGGGGACGGCCAGCUCCGUCGCGGCGUUGCGGGGAGGCCGAGGCGCGAGGCGAACAUCAACAGCGACUCUGUGCCGUCCUUCCCGCUUCGACGAUGCGUGGGGGGCCACGGGUCUGUGUAUUUUGGCACGGGUCUUUCCUAUAAAUCUGCUGCUUCAAUUUUGUGCUUUAAGAUUCUGCAUUGCCCCAACUGCUUUCUACAACUUGGAAGCUAACAUCUUCAAAAUUAAUCUACUUUGGUGCUUUAAGAUUCUAGCAUUGCCCCAAAUGCCAGCUGAAUUUGAAUGCUGCUGUGACGGUCCACUUCAUGUACUAUGUCAAAGUAUCUGCAAAGGGGGAAGAGAACAGAGAUAGACGAUCUGAAACUCUGCUUGCAUUUCUUUAUGCGUAACCGCUACCAUCUCUUGCAGUUCAUAUGCAUGGAUUUUUUAAGGAAACAGCAGUGUGCUGCCUAUGCAUUAAGAAGGAAGAGUUUUACAGGAGAGCUGUAAAAUAAUUACAAGAAGCUGAUACCCUGAAUCAGCUUGAAUCCGAUUUGAGCUUGAAGGAAGCUGAUACUUGGCCUGCCGAGAUGCCUGUGGCCGUGAGAAGGCCGCAACUGAGCUGAGUUGUGCAAGCACUACAACACACCAGAGGACUUUGUCAUUCACUGCUGUGUUGGCCAUUUCUACAGUGUUGAUGGACAAUUUGAGGCCUGGAAAGGCGGCCACGAGAAGGCACUGGUUGCCUUCUGUGGAAUGGCUCGUACUUCCACAAAACAUCUGCAUGCAGAGUUGCAGAAAUAGUGUGGUCUGCGUGGAGCUGUGCAGACUGUUGUUGUGUUGCAAUAGGUUAAACCGUUAAAUAUUUAAGUGUUGCCAAGGUCUUGAUGGAUAAGUGUUCCGAAUAGUUUGUUGUAUGGAAUACAUUGGUAAUACAAAGGCUGGCUUGAAGCUGGUGAAACUGCUACUCAGGGAGGCGUUUGUGCUGGAGGCGAUGGGUAUCAUGCCUUCCAAGGAUGCUGUGUUGGCUGUUCUAACCAUGAGAAAAGGUGAGAUGCAAAACUGUCCCGACACCGCCAUCUCCUUCAACAAGCUCGGCCUUUUUGAAGAUAUCGGGAAGCAAUUGAGGAACUACCUGGCUAAUACGGAGACCUCGAUACAUCUCCCAUACCUCCGCCGCGGGGAGGCCUGUCUCGAAGUCAUGGCAAAGGCUACCUUUCAUUGCUUCUAUGAGCUCUGGGUGGAAUGCCAAAGAUUGCACGGCCAGGAAUCCCUAGCAAGCAGCAAGCAGUUACUUGGCCAGUAUACUCAUUCGCAGCAUCACUCUGGUCUCUGGCCAGUCAUGUUUGCAGCUUGCAGUGUUAAACUUUGGCGGAGUAGAAAUGACAGAGUUUCAACAGAAUACAGACUUCCACUGCAUUGAUCAAAGCCAGGAUCUGGGACAACCUUAGGUUGUGGACCUGCCGUUGAAGGAAGGAUUCCCGCCCCCUGUGGCUUUUCUGAAUAUAAGGAAUUCCUAGCAACAUCAAUCACCAAAAUGAAAUCACCUGAAGCUGAUGCGUAUAUUGUGAAAGCCAAACAAAAGGCAUAACUGAAGUGUAUGUGUUCAGGUCCUAACCAGGAGAGUAGGUGAGAUGCAAAACUGUUCCGACGCCGCCAUCUCCAUCAACAAGCUCGACCUUUUUGAGCAUAUCUGGAAGCAAUUCAGGCACCAACUGGCCAAUACGGAGGCCUCCAUAGAUCUCCCAUACAUCGGCCGCGGGGAGGCCUGUCUCGAACUCAUGGCAGAGGUUCCCUUUCAUUGCUUCUGUGAGUUCUGUGUGGCUUGCCAAAGAUUGCAGAGUGAGUUCUAGCCUCUUGCUACAUGGAUUUUUUCUGUGUAGAACACGAGUCAUCGCAGUUGUUGGAAUAUGUGGCUGACAGGCUGAGAUGUCACCGUCAGAAUAUUACAGUGUGAAUAGACAAUUUACGUUAAAAGAAAUCUGGUGUUUA